GACAGAGGGUGCAAACGUUGUUCGGAAUUACUGGGCGUAAAGCGCGUGUAGGCGGCCCUGUAAGUCGGGUGUGAAAUCCCACGGCUCAACCGUGGAAGUGCACUCGAAACUACAGGGCUAGAGUCCUGGAGAGGAAGGUGGAAUGCUUGGUGUAGAGGUGAAAUUCGUAGAUAUCAAGCGGAACACCGGUGGCGAAGGCGGCCUUCUGGACAGUGACUGACGCUGAGACG
rnacentral:rRNA from 1 species